GACGAACGCUGGCGGCGUGCUUAACACGUGCAAGUCGAACGAAGAGCGAUGGAAGCUUGCUUCUAUCAAUCUUAGUGGCGAACGGGUGAGUAACGCGUAAUCAACCUGCCCUUCAGAGGGGGACAACAGUUGGAAACGACUGCUAAUACCGCAUACGAUCUAAUCUCGGCAUCGAGGAUAGAUGAAAGGUGGCCUCUACAUGUAAGCUAUCACUGAAGGAGGGGAUUGCGUCUGAUUAGCUAGUUGGAGGGGUAACGGCCCACCAAGGCGAUGAUCAGUAGCCGGUCUGAGAGGAUGAACGGCCACAUUGGGACUGAGACACGGCCCAGACUCCUACGGGAGGCAGCAGUGGGGAAUCUUCCGCAAUGGACGAAAGUCUGACGGAGCAACGCCGCGUGAGUGAUGACGGCCUUCGGGUUGUAAAGCUCUGUUAAUCGGGACGAAAGGCCUUCUUGCGAAUAGUGAGAAGGAUUGACGGUACCGGAAUAGAAAGCCACGGCUAACUACGUG
rnacentral:rRNA from 1 species